rnacentral:rRNA from 1 species
GACGAACCACACGAACGUUAUUCGGAAUUACUGGGCUUAAAGGGUGCGUAGGCGGCGCGGUAAGUAGGGUGUGAAAUCCCUCGGCUCAACCGAGGAACUGCGCUCUAAACUACCGUGCUCGAGGGAGAUAGAGGUGAGCGGAACUUAGGGUGGAACGGUGAAAUGUGUUGAUAUCCUAAGGAACACCGGUGGCGAAAGCGGCUCACUGGAUCUCUUCUGACGCUGAGGCACGAAAGCUAGGGUAGCGAACGGG